ACGGGAGGCAGCAGUGGGGAAUAUUGCACAAUGGAGGAAACUCUGAUGCAGCGACGCCGCGUGAGUGAUGAAGUAUUUCGGUAUGUAAAGCUCUAUCAGCAGGGAAGAAGACGACGGUACCUGACUAAGAAGCCCCGGCUAACUACGUGCCAGCAGCCGCGGUAAUACGUAGGGGGCAAGCGUUAUCCGGAUUUACUGGGUGUAAAGGGAGCGUAGACGGCUUAGCAAGUCUGAAGUGAAAGGCAUGGGCUCAACCUGUGGACUGCUUUGGAAACUGUUAAGCUAGAGUACCGGAGGGGUAAGCGGAAUUCCUAGUGUAGCGGUGAAAUGCGUAGAUAUUAGGAGGAACACCGGUGGCGAAGGCGGCUUACUGGACGGCAACUGACGUUGAGGCUCGAAAGCGUGGGGAGCAAACAGGAUUAGAUACCCUGGUA
rnacentral:rRNA from 1 species